GGUUGCAGGAGGGGACCAAUCAGAGGUACCUCCCAUUUUUCAUCUGCAGCCCAAUGCAAAGUAAUGACAUGGAUCUGGAGAGAUUCUCUUAGGAGAGAAUCUGGCUAAGUGUCUAGCAGGAUGAUUGAUUAACAAGAUGUUUUGUUUUCAUCAUCUCAGAGAUAAGUACAACUAUUCUGUCAUCUAAUCUGCUAACUCCUACAUUAUCAAUACGCUGUAUUGAGGUAUAAUUGAUAUGCCAAAUAACUGGACACAUUCAACUUGUGCAAUUUGAUGAGUUUGGAGAUACACAUACAUCUGUGAAACCAUCACCAAAAUCAAGAUGCUGGUGCCUGCAGUGGAGGCUGCUUGAAAUACAUCUGGUCCAGUCACAGCCUUGAUUGGGGCCAGUGCCUGUGCCAGCACCUGGAGCUGCCUGCCCCACCACAGCAGCCAGCGUGCCUGGCUGUGCACAGAGGCCAGACCUGUGCUCACUCACUCACACGCCCCUCACCACUCUGUGCCUGGCUCACCCUUGGCAGGCAUGGGAUCUCGGCCAGUAGCACGAGCCAAGCACAGCCUGCUGGGCCAAGUGGGUAAAACGAGCCCAGUGGGUGCGAGCAAGACUCAAGCAGAGGCACCACCAGCCGCCGAGGCACCACCAGCCACAGAGGUUUCUGGCUGGUGAAGCAACACCUGAAGAAUCCUAUGGCAUUUUCCUGACUUUGAAAUUUACCCACUUAGUCAAGAAAAUAUGAAGCUAUUCAUUCCCUUUACUUGUCUAGCAGAAUAUUUCCACAUAGAAGAUUUUAGUCUUUGUCAUCAAGACUGCGUAACAUUUAACACUCCACCACAUCAAAAUGCUACUUACACAUACAUAAUAAACACUCAGAGAGGAAUGCUGCCUCAGACAUCAUCUUUUCUUCACUCUGUCUAAAGCAUGAAUGUCCUUAGAUGUUCAUUCAAAAUUAGUGCCAGGGAGUGCUAUUUGGCAAGGCCACUUAGAAUAUAGUAAUUAAUUAGAAUGCAUUUAUUAAAUUAAGCUGAAACUAUC
rnacentral:lncRNA from 1 species